rnacentral:snRNA from 1 species
CUUUCCGUUUUCAAUUGGUUGAU